rnacentral:rRNA from 1 species
GUCGAGGAUCUUCCGCAAUGGGGGCAACCCUGACGGAGCGACGCCGCGUGCAGGAUGAAGGCCUUCGGGUCGUAAACUGCUGUCACACGUUAUGAAAAAGUGCGGGCUAAUACUCCGCACCUUGACAAAGGCGUGAAAGGAAGCCACGGCUAACUUCGUGCCAGCAGCCGCGGUAAGACGAAGGUGGCUAGCGUUGCUCGGAAUUACUGGGCAUAAAGCGCGCGUAGGUGGUCCUGUAAGCGGGGGAUGAAAGCCCAUGGCUCACCCAUGGAACUGUCCCUCGGACUGCAGGGCUGGAGGGCGGGAGGGGAGAAUGGAAUUCCCGGUGUAGCGGUGAAAUGCGUAGAUAUCGGGAGGAACGCCGGUGGCGAAAGCGAUUCUCUGGUCCGCUCCUGACACUGAGGCGCGAGAGCUAGGGGAGCAAACAGGAUUAGAUACCCUGGUAGUCC